rnacentral:rRNA from 1 species
CAACUUUCAGCAACGGAUCUCUUGGCUCUCGCAUCGAUGAAGAACGCAGCGAAAUGCGAUAAGUAAUGUGAAUUGCAGAAUUCAGUGAAUCAUYGAAUUUUUGAACGCACCUUGCGCUCCUUGGUAUUCCGAGGAGCAUGCCUGUUUGAGUGUCAUUA